GCGGACGGAUCCUUCGCCCGGCCGGGGCUCGUGGUCGCCGUCCAACCAGGAACCAACAAGGAGCGAGGCAGCGAGCUCAUGCAUCGCGCGCGGGCCACCAAAAGGCAACGCUCACCGCCCCCCGGUCCAUGCAGUAGUCUUCCGUAAUUAAAUGCGGCGGCGAACUCGCCGCCCACCGCUCCCCCGGUCCCGUACGUGACUACGUGGCGGAGCUAGCUCGGAGGUCGUUCUCGCUCGAUCAGCUCGCGGCCGCUCUGAUCUGCGCCUUCGCCCGCGCCCGGAGGGAACAGUUCGCGGCAACUGAUCAAACAGACAAACAGGCUAUAGGUGUACAUUUAGACCGGGCCUGAUGGGCCGGCCCGAAGCACGGAAAAAAAAGCACGGCCCAGGCACGGCACGACCCGAAAUAUUUUAGUGUCGGGCCGGCACGGUCCGUUAUAUCAGGUCGGGUUUGGGCCGAGGUCACGGCCCAUGGGCGGGCACGAGCACAGCUCAUUUAAGGCAGGCACGAUAUGGCCCAUAUAGAGGCACGGAAAGGCCUAUAUAUUACCACACUUCAUUCCACAGUUUCAUAGACUUGAUAAAGAACACAAAGCUAGAGAUAAUGCUAGUUAGAUAUUAUAGCUUUGAAUUAGAGUAUGUGAUGUAAUUUUACUUUUGUUAUGAACAUUAGACAAUAAACUGAACUCACGAACUUUGUAUAGAGCUGAUUAUACUCUUUUUCCUUCUAACAAAAUAAUUUGUAAACGAGGUAGUCAUUGCAUAGCUGUGGUAACUUUAAUACAAAUAUUAAGUUUGCUUUUGU
rnacentral:lncRNA from 7 species